rnacentral:rRNA from 1 species
AUUGAACGCUGGCGGCAGGCCUAACACAUGCAAAUCGAGCGAGCGGCGGACGGGUGUGUAAUGUAUGGGGACUGCCCGAUAGCGGGGGAUAACUACUGGAAACGGUGGCUAAUACCGCAUACUAUCGGAUAACCCAUAUGGGAUUAGCUAGUGGGUGGGGUAAAGGCUCACCUAGGCGACGAUCCCUAGCUGGUCUGAGAGGAUGAUCAGCCACACUGGAACGGAGAGACGGCCCAGACUCAUACGGAGGCAGCAGUGGGGAAUAUUGCACAAUGGGGGAAAGCCAGAUGCAGCCAUGCCGAGGGUAUGAUGAAGGCCGUAGGGUUGUAAAGUACUUUCAGCAGAGAGGCGUUACCCGCAGAAGAAGCACCGGCUAACUCCGUGCCAGCAGCCGCGGUAAUAC